GCCCAUACACCUAUUUUAUUCAUAAAUUAUACAUAUAUAAAUGUACUAUAAAUGUAUAUUUUGUAUGUAUAAAACCUAUACACCUAUUUUAUUCAUAAAUUAUACAUAUAUAGAUAUACUGUAAAUGUAUAUUUUGUAUGUAUAAAACCUAUACACAAGUGGACAUUUUUAAAACAAAAUGUUUCUAAAUAUGAAAGUUUUAAUAAUUUCUUCUUUCACCUCCUGUCACUUUGAGGUCAGCUGUCAAAAACAGUUGGAAAAUUGGUAUACUCCCGCCUAGGUACAAUACAGUUUCCUCUGCCAGUCACACUAACAAAUACCACAUGUGUGUAGGGAUUAUUUUGCAAGGUUGUUUUAAAGUCAGGCAAACAGCCUUCAGGGGGAAAAGGUCACCUUCCCAUGUCUAAAAUUAGAUUCCACCUUGGCAAAGGAAGGAAAAGAGUACACAUCUGUUCCUAUUCCUUGGGGGAGGCCCUGAUGGUGAAAAAGAUGUUUCAUUAAGGACCUCUGGUUUGUUCAGGAGUAGUUGAAAAAUGGUCCUCAACAGAAAGCAGCUCUUAGUGUAUGGGGAGGAAAGGCUGCCUUGUGGCAGGAUCUCAGGUGUGUAUGUUGGGCCAUUAUCGUCCUGCCUCGCCCUGAGCAGCCUCUGACCUUCUGCUAAAGCCCCACACAGCCGACUGUCCUCAGGACCCCCGUUGCCACCCGGGGAUCCCCAUGCAGCCCGGGAUCUCUGUCCCGAUUCCUCAGCUGUCACCCCUAAGAGCCCCUUCACGUCCCUGGCAUGGCGUGUGGGGCCAGAGCCACAGAAGGGGGCCUGGGCUUUGCCUCCAGGAGCUUGCAGCCCCAGCGGGGAGGCACACAAAUAAGCUGCCAUGGGAUCGAUGCUGCCCGGAAGGAUGUUCGGAUCCAGCGUGCACCUGGGAGACGUGCAUGCAGCCUUGGCCGGCGCAGGACCCAGGCAAGAGCCACCGUACGCUGAGGGGAGACCAAGGACCCAGGCUAGAGCCACCGUACGUUGAGGGGAGGCCAAGAAAGGAAAAGAAGACAAUUUCACCCAGAAUGCGGCGAAAGGCUGGCCGCCACUUGGUCCCCGGGCAGAGCAAGCCCAGGACGCUGCUGUGUCCCCAGGCUGCUGCUUGCAGAAGACGGAGCUGCGGACGGGCCGCGUGUGGCCGAGGAGGGAGAGGCCGGCUCGCUCGCUUUGUUUCUCCGAGGUGCUGUCUCUGGUGUCGUGCAUCCAAUUAUGGUGAAAGAUUGGGGAGGAGCCCGUGAAAAAAAUUAAAAGGCUGGAAGGAACAAUAUUUAAAGUGAAGCCACAGCUGCGCCUCAUGUUUUUUUUAAAAGGUGAAUGGAAAUGACUGCUUGAGAUAAACUGCAAUAAACAGGAAGACAGAAUGCCAGCUGCCAUUCCAGACAAGAGCUCUGCCCUCCCCACACAAUUAGGAGGAAAAGCAGCCGUCGACCUCCAUUAACCCUCACGUCUUCCUGCCUGGAAGGGCUGGAUACGCUUGAAGAACCCUGUGGAGCUCCUGAACCCUGGAGCCUAGCCUCACCUCGGCCACCUGGGGACGAUCGUGCAGCUUUCUGGGCCACCGUCUCCUUUUCUUUCAAGGGAGGAAUUGGCCUGGUUGGUCUCAGAUGCUAUAAAUAUAAAAAUAUUAAAGCCUCUUGGCUCCUGGUUCAGAGUCCAGGUUUCCAUCCUGUCACCCUGUUAGCACACCUCCAUUGGCCAGCCUGGUCAGGGAUGGGCUGUUGCAGGUUAGCUGGAUUUUCUAGAUAAACAGUACGUGAGUUACCUAUCCGGGGUGGGGGUGGGGGUAUUUUUUUUGAGAGAGAGAGAAUUCUUAUAUAUGAGAUGUAAUUCACAUAUCAUAAAAUUUGCCAUUCCAUACUGUACAUUUUGAUGGUUUUUAGUAUAUCCCUAAGUUUAUGCAAACCCCUGCUAAUCCCAGAACAUUGUCAUCACCCCCAGAAAGAAGCCCUGUACUCAUUAGCAGUUACGCCUAGUUACCCCCUUCCCCCACAACCAUUAAUCUACUUUCUUUCUUCAUAGAUUUGCCUGUUCUGGACAUUUCUGGCUCUUUUACCCUUUUCUGUACUCUUUUCACAAGCUUAUCCCACCCCUCCCUUUAAUGUUAACAACAGCUACCAUUGAAUAAGUUUCUGUCUGGGCCAGGCACUGCGCCAGGCCCUUUCUAUACAGUAUUUCAUUUAAUCCUUAAAACAACUUAUAAGAUAGGUAUUAGUAUCCCCCCCCCCCACCUUUUCUUUUCAGAAAAAGAAACUGAGGCUUAAAGUGUUUCUGUAAUUUGCACUAGUAAGCAUCAGAGUCAAGAUGUUAACUUGGGUCUUCUUGACACCAAAUGCCCUGAAGUCCCUGCCUCCUUCCUGGUCAUGCCUGUGUCUGGCUCGCCCGGAUCCUAAGUCCACCCUGAUGUGGGAAAUUGAGGACAUCAGCUUCCUGGAAGUUGACGGAGGUUGCACUGUUUCAUAACCAUGCAGUAGGUCUUUUGAACCGUUGUGUUCUCACUGUGAUACUGAAUGACAGUGCUGGUUUUAAAGACUUCUAAAAUGUCACCUGUUAGAAAGAGUUCCCAGACAACACUGCCCUGUGUUAAAAAGUAGUCUCUGUAGCCAAUCACAUGAGAACCAGAAAAAGCUCAAGAUGCUUCCAGCAGGGGCGCCUGAGUGUCUCCGUCAGUUAAGUGUCUGCCUUCUGCUCAGGUCAUCAUCCCAGGGUCCUGGGAUCGAGCCCCAGUUGGUCCCUGCUCAGCAGGGAGUCUAUUUCUUUCCUUCUCCCUUUGCCCCUCACACGCACACUGUCUCAAAUAAAUGUCUCAAAUAAAUGAAUAAAAUCUUUAAAAAA
rnacentral:lncRNA from 1 species